rnacentral:rRNA from 1 species
CCAAAAGCUGGCGACCGGCGCACGGGUGAGUAACACGUAUCCAACCUGCCUCAUACUCGGGGAUAGCCUUUCGAAAGAAAGAUCAAUAUCCGAUAGCAUAUAUUUCCCGCAUGGGUUUUAUAUUAAAGAAAUUCGGUAUGAGAUGGGGAUGCGUUCCAUUAGUUUGUUGGGGGGGUAACGGCCCACCAAGACUACGAUGGAUAGGGGUUCUGAGAGGAAGGUCCCCCACAUUGGAACUGAGACACGGUCCAA